CUCCUCUCCUUCGAGAGAACGGAAGGACGCCUGCGGCCUACAUGCUGGCUCCCAGAUAUGCCUGAAGAAGAAUGAUCUCAGCUCACCUCUCUCCUCCUGAGCCUCAGUCAUUUUUUGAAGUGUGGAAAUUCAAGCAAGUGUUGGCUUUGGAUAUCAUUGUGAACAGCCUAAGGAAAGGACGACUGUGGCCAAUGAGACAAAAUGGUGUUUAAAAACACUAAUGGAAAGGAGGCCCAGAGGCAAGAAAUGGACCCUUGUGGUUAAAACAGGAGGUCUCCAUGAGGAAUGUGGAAUGUGGACCAUGAGAGGUCGCCAGUGGCCAGGGAGUCAUUGCGUUGGUGAAGAGGUGCAGCCCUGAGGUGGAGGUUCCUGCUUCUUCGGGCCUGGAAGAAG